GCAUUGCGCCGGCAGCACUGGGCCAAUGAGGGCUCAGCAGAGGCAUUUCCGGGCGAGACGACGGCGCCUGGGCGGGCCUUCCUGCGGCGUCUUCCGGCGGCAUUUUGUAAACUUGGGAAGGCGGCGUGCGGCAGACGUCGGAGUCCUGGGCGGGCCUGGGCAGGAGACCGCCGUGCCCGCUGCUCUGAGGCGGGUCAGAGGCUCGUGGCGGGCCCAGCGGGCAUCACUCGGGCUUGCUCUGCUACUGGGCCGGCCUGCGGACACGGAGCCUGGUACCUCUGCUCCCUUCCCCGCCCCGCCCACUGACCCCGGCGGCUCCGUUUGAGGUAAAGGGCUGGCAGAUGAGCCACCUUCUGAGCAGGAUAUGCCAUGGGAGUAUCUGUCUACCCAGAAGGCCUGUUUCUGGGAGAUGGGUAGACUGGGCACAGAAGAUGACUUGCAUCUUAGCUGAGGACCUGCACCAGCGAACCCUGGGCAGAAGCUGUGUGGAGCGUAUGGGGAAUCUCACAGGUUACCGGGAGCAGCCCCGCGGAGAGAAACUCUUCAGAAAGGGUGGGACAUGCCUCCUGCAUGCAGAGCUGCCCAGUCAGUGUGUCAGAGGAGCCCUUCCCCUGCCAGGAGGCGGCUUUCCGCCGUGGCCCUCCAGCACCGGCCUGUGCACAGCUGAGGGUGCGGGACUGUCGCUUUGGAUCAGGCGCAGUGAAUGAGGGAAGCCUUGUCACGUAGACUUCUCAGCACCAGGGUCCACACUGGAGAAAGAGGCCCUAUGAGUGCAACGAAUGUUGGAAAACCUUCAGCUGCAACAAACCUACUGUCCAGCAGCAGCCGGCAUCAGUGGGUGUGGUCUGUGGCCUAAAGCUCCCGUUCUCAAACCACCGGAGUCCACGCUGGGGCACGCACAGUGCAGGGGAUGUAGGCGGUUGUUUCAGUCAGAGCUUUGGCCUCCCUGAACACCAGAGAAUUCACGCUAGUAGGUGAGCACAUUGAAUGUGGAGAAAGGUCACGCUAGAGCAUGUGGCCUCAUGAGUGCAGUGACUGGGGGGAAAGCCUUCAGUCCAAGGCCUGAACUCUUAGCUGAAGUUCGCCCUGGAGAAGGCCUCACUGGCCCUCACAGACUGAUGCAGGCAGGCCACGAGCUGUAUGUUUGACACAACCCGAGAGGGGCAUCAACUUGAAGUUGACACCAUGCAGUCCUAGUUAGAGAUUGUGAGCACAGGUUUCUCAGGAAGCUUCUAGAACUACACUGUACUGAACCUGCUCAGUCAGCCCGCCUUACAUGGCAGCAGGCUUUCUGCGAUAGAUGCCACCUCCCCCGCUCAGUAUAAGCUCUGCUGGCUGUCCCCUGCCGUCAGCCCUGGGGUGCUGUCGUUCUCUCCCAUCUGACUGGCCCCGUAGGACUAGGAUGGGCACCUAACAAGCCUUCUGACCAAGAGCCCAGCCUGCAUUUUGCUGAGGUUCUAACCUUCCACAGCCACUUUGGUUUCAUGAGUUGCUCAUGAUUUUAUUAGCCUCCAAGUCAACCUUUGUAGGAAGUAUUUGGCUCAGUUUGGGGUGGUUUGUGCAAUAAGAACAUUAAUCAUUUAAGCCAUUUUUAUCUUGGGGUUUCUAGUCAGCUGGUAAUGUUGAAAACAGGUGGACUCUGCAAGGAUAAAGAAGUGAACAAACUCAGGCCUCACCUCAGUGAGAGAUCGUGGCAGAGAAGUCACCAAGGUUUGCUGGAGCUAGACUGCAGGGUUUUUUAUCUAAUGGAAGCCAAUUUGUGGACCCAGAGGGUCCCCCUGAGAGGAUUGUUGUAAGAACCACCGCUGUUUUAGAGAGGGCAUAUAAGCCAGCUGGUGUCACUGAUUCCUCUGGGCAUCAGCUAGGGGGCCUGACACCAGAGGGGGAUGUCUGUCCUCAAUUUGCAUCCAGAAACGUCCCAAUGACUGUUUAGGAUAAAGCCUUUUGUCAAAAUUCUCACACCCUGGCAAGCGUAAAGGUUAAGCUCUUACACCUCCAGUGGCAUGCCAAUUGGGGACUGAGAGUGGAAACACAUAAUCCAGACAUGUGAUUUUCGCGACUAACAGAGCUCCUGGUAACUGAAAUGGAAACCCUUCCUGUUAGCAGUGCUCACUGUUCGGUGCAGCAGGGCCUCCCUCCCCUCCAGAGUUAAAAGGCAAGAUUGCUUUAUAAUUUUUCACAUGCAGCUUCGCAAUUUUAACGUUGUAAUUCCAGUACCCAUUCUUGUAUUUGUGGCCCUUCCUCCCUGAACUCCCAGGGCAUUUGAUUACUUUUUCAAUAUUCAGUUGGUGCUUUCUGGACUCUUGGUAAUUGGAAUCUUAGUCUGUUUACUGUAUUUUUUUACUCACCUUUUGUGGGUACAUAGUUUAUUGAGAAUCAUCCAAAAAAUAAAGAUGUACUUUUAAUUCCCAUAAAACACCUUUUGUUCCUCUAAUCGACUAACCACUCACAUUUUUUAAAGGGUUGGGGUUUUUGGUGUUCAGGUUCAACUAGCACCUAUGACUGUAAGACUAGAUUGUACUGUAAUAGAAACAUAGGCCACAACAUAACUUUAGUCUCUAUUAAAAUUCCCCAUGACUUUAAGGUGUAGACAGUUAAUAAAAACACCUUUGUUUGUACUAUUGUUUCCCAUUUCCCCCUCAUUAAAUACUUGAACUGUGGCCAAUUUCCCCACAGAGAACAUGAUUAAGUCAUCAAAUGUGAAUUCGGAAAGAGAUGUGUGUGCAAGAGGUCGUGACAACACCAUUAUAACCUGAGGAACACAGGAAUUAGUAAAAUAAUUAUGAAAGAAACGACUUUGAGUUUACUGUGCAAUGAAGAGUUAAGUAAAAAAAAUGCCAAAGUUGUCUAAUGUUUGAACAUCUGAAAGAAUGGCUUGGCACCUGCCUGGCUCCUUGGGAGAUAAGCCCUUAAAGCAUUCUGCCUCUUUCGUGCCCGAGGGGGCUUUGGGCUAGAUGGUUUCCUGCUAACUAUCAUUUAUGGUGGAUCUGCCACACAAGAGGCUCCUUAGAGAGAGAGAGAGAGAGAGAGAGAGACGACCAAGGCUUGGGUCUCACUGCCUUGGUCAUCUGUGCUUCCUGCACCAUGUCGCACUGCCGAGAAGGAAGCUGACAUGAGCUCUCCUGGCCUCUGCCCAGACAUUGUCCAGCCUGUGUCCUCACAAUAGAACUUUGCUCAGUUCUGAGAGUUCUCGUGAAAACCUGAGCUGGUCUUGGGGAUUGAAGAACUAAGACUACCUUUGUAUAUACCUCACUUUAAAAUAAGGUGCACGGUUUGAUGACAAAACCAAAAGUUCUUUUGUGUCAUUUGUAUGACUCAUCCCCCUUCAAAAGGAAUGCAUUGGAAAUGCCAGGAACCCAGCUCCUAUAUUUUUUCAUCAUAUACCUAAUUAGAUGUGUUCUCUCACCACCACCCCCUUACACAUAAACCCCCUGUAUCAAUGUCAUUUAACUUCUACAAAACAAUUUUCAAAAAAACGGCAGUACUUUUUUCAUUAAAAAUUAGGGUCACACCUCCUGUUACCUACAGAAAACCUGCCUUAACUUUAUAUAGCUGCUGCACACAAAUUACUGCCGCGGCAGGGGGCACAUGAGUGAAGUCCUUUCCCAGAGCUUUGGUCAGUUGCAGUGGGCUGGAGUAUGGUUCCCAGUCAUUAAAGCCCAACAGUGUAGCAUCUUGCUUUGCGGGUCAUUAAAAUCAGCCUCCUCUGCAAAUACUGCCUCCCUCUGCCACGUACUGUAAGGGCACCUGCAAGUACAUGGCUCAGAACCCUGAAUCGCAAUAAACGGAUGGUGCAUAUGUCUUUUUGAAUCUGGGGUCUUGUUUUCUUCGGGUAAAUUCCUAAGAGUGUAAUGACUGGGUCAAAUGGUAUUUCUAUUUAAAAUAAAGUUUUACCUCUAUAACUUGGCCAUUUACCUAUUAUACACAAUUUGACGCAUUCUAGAUUAAAAAUAACUUGAUUCUCUCGGAUAAUGUAUAUUAUGUUGACCACUGUUGGGGAAUCUCCACAAAUGUAGAAAAGCUAUUGAAUUAGCACGAAAACAAUGUGAUGGACAUCCCAACGCAAUACAUUGGAGACAGCGUAGAGACGAGAGAAAUCUCACCUUUUCCUUUGUUACACAGUUUACCCUAAACCUAACUGGUGAUUUGAGGUGGGGUCCUGUCUCCAAAGGAAUAGAAUCUCUCUUAUCUGACAGGUAGGUUAGUUGCAAUUAGAACCUGACGCCUAAAUCCACCCCUCCUGGCAUCUGGGAGCGCUCACCUUCCUCGACACCCGCUUUUCAAAGAGGUGGCACAGGACUCUUAAAAAGCCCUUCCAGUGGCUGCUUCCGCGUCGGUUUUAGAUUAUGCAUUAGCUACAUGGAAAAUUAUUCCCAACGUCUCCAUAAACUUUAUGGCUCAUAAAGGCCAGACUAACAGCCAAAAAGUUUCCUUCUUUCCUGCAAGUCGGCUUCCGUGGAGCGGGCAGGAUGUGGGCGCUCAGCGUGAGCAGGGGCAACGUGUACGCGCUUCGGAAAAUGGGCACAGCGGACAGGCAGCCUCCUGGACAACCGUUGACCGCUGGGACCAGCCCGGGGGCAGAAUGGGCCCAGCAAGGGAGGGACCCGCGCCACACAGCCGCGAGGCACAACGGGGUGGUGCAGGAUUAACCGCCCAGCGGGGUUCAGGUAGGCGGAGCCCAGGUUAGAACGAGGCCCAGGGGCCCUCAGGGUACCGAUGGCCACAGGCCUGCAACGCCCCUUAGAUUCGCCCGGCUGUUUUCCCGAUCAGCGGCGAAGCCGACCAGCCCCCGCGAAGGGCCGGGUUUUACUACCUCCCCCGAGGAGCCGGAAGGUUUGCCGGCAGGGCGCCCGCCACAGCCCCGUGAGGGAAGCGGAGACACGCCACCGUUUUCGCCGUUGCCCAGGGCACCCACCUACCCGAGACAAGGAGCCCCGCGCGGACGCACAGCCCUGGGUGGCCCCCGCGGUGCAUGCGGCUGGGAGCCCCGGCCUCGCGGCUCUCCGCGGGGCCAACCGCCCCCACCCCCGGGACGCACUAGGCGCCUGCGGGAGGGGGCGGAACGGCCCCCGGAUUACGGCCGCUGCCGCGAGGCGGGCCUCGUCCACCGGACGCUGCCACCCCAUCCGCCUGCGCCGCGCAGGCUCCGCGCGUCCAGCCCUCCGGCAGCAUCGUAGCCCAGGCCCCUCACCACGGAUGGACUACGGCGGCCAGAGGGGCGCGGGCGGGUGGCGUCCUUCGCGUGGGCCGCUGCGCCCUCGGGAUCUCGGGCGACGAGCCGGCGGUGCAGCGAGACGGGACGAGGCUGGCCGCUGGGGGUCACUGGUCUCUGCGCGCGGCCUCCAGGCCCUUGCGGUCCACGCGGUCGCGGGCGUGUGGCCGGGAGAACACGCUGGCACAGCGCUUCUUGCUGACGAGCAGGUGGGGAAAGUGGACCUCACGCUCCAGCAGCAGGGGUGGGGAAGGGGCCCGACAGCAAAUCCGCAGCCUCCGUUCCAGGGUCGCCGCCUAGGGCACGAGACCACCCAGGCCCAUGGCAGCGUCGCCUAGCCCCCCAUGGCGUUGGCGCCGGGGCCGUUCUCCACCGCAUACUUGGACCCAUCAGUUGCUUUGCUUUCCCAAGCAUCUGGCACCCGAACCCGGUGACGCUCGAGGCAGGGAGGGCGGGGAGACGGGUUGGCGGACCACUGAGAACCGCCCAGGGAGUGCACACCCCGUGAGAGCCGAGGCUCCGAAGGCCCAGCACGCGACUCCAAUGGGCCCCACAGCGCAGCACCCCCCCAGGUAGAGGCGGGGCAAGGCCCCGCACUCCCGGCACGCCCUCUGGGGGGGAGGCGCUGGAUGGGAGGGAGGGCGAGGGGACCCCGUGACCUUGCCCCCCUCCUCCGGGCGUCACACCCCUCCCGCGCGCUCGCCUCUCUCGACCAGGGCCCGCACUGCCCGCCCCGCACGCUCUCCUGAACCGAUCCUUCCCCAGCAGCAGCCUUGCUGGGACUCCCUACUUCCUUCCGCCAACCUCCACCGUCCCUCUCCAACGACUUGGGCCAGCCGGAGGCGAUCCAAGGGCCUCGCUGAGCCAUCCAACCAGCAGCAGUGAUGGCGCAGUGUGUACAAAAACGCAACGACUCACAGGCACACACUGGAGCACUGCAAGCCCCAUCGGGAAUGGGGUCAGCGGUUACCCGCGCCUGCCGGUAGGGAAGGCACCCACACACUCAGCCAGUCCGCGAGGCGCAGCAGCCCGAGACCUCGGAGGGCAUCGUCUCAGACCCGGUGUCGUUCAUCCUCGGUUAGCUGCACAGCAGUCGUGCCUCAAGAGGCAGGGGGACAUCGGCCAUGCAAGGAACACAGAACUGCACAGGCCAGUUUCAUUAGUUACCGGAAGUAACCAACCUUCUCUCCACCAAGUGCCAUGACCACCGCGUGGGAAUGCCCUCAGCAGUCGGCAUCGUUUAUGGCUAGAACUGGGGCAUCUUGUAGUCAUCUCCAAUCUCCUACUUUGGGCUGUGAUUAACAAAAACAUUCUCAGCAAAUGCUUUCAAUUCCCCCACGUAUUGCGCAAGUCCAAGUCUUUCACCAGUAGGUGCAAAAUACCAAAGCGAUAACCAUCACCUCUUAAUCAUGGCUUUAUCACUCCCAAACCAACAAAUUUGAACGGCAGUCCCCCCUUCCAUCACUUCCGGCUGCAGUAUCCAGGCAACGAGGGCCUGCUUUUGAAUAGUUUCCAAAGUAAAUGCUUACAAGGCCACAAGGACAAGCCACAAAAACACGAGGACACCAAGAGACGAGGACAAGGGACAGGUAGGGGACCACAUCGUGGCAGACCAUCCCCCAGGGUCAAACUACAAGCUUUCUCACUGUAGCAACGUACACCUUAUUGGAGCUGUAAUUACCGCAGCUGCUGGCAUCAGAUUUGCCCUCCAAGGAUCCUUGAUUAAAGGGGUCUCAUUCCAAUUGCAGGACUUCAGAAGAAUCCUAUUUUUCGUCACAACCUCUCCAGGUGAGGAGUGGUAAGAUGUGAUAAAUUGUUUCUCCGACUUCUAGGCGGAAUUGAAUCCUGAUUACUGUCACCCGUUGUCACCAGGGCAGGCACAGCAGCUACCGUCAGAAGUUGAUAGGACGUUCGAAUGAGCGGCACUCCCCGGGGAGCAUGCCACCGGGCCAGGUAGUCUAAGCCUGAGGCACUACACGGUAAAGCCACAGGCCCAUGCGCACCUGGGUACGCCUGGCUCAGUCUUUGAGGCAAAGAACGACG